UCUGGCUGAUUAGGAAGGAAAACAACAAAAGCUCAUGCAGGAAGUACACCCUUCAACUCGUGCCGUCGAUGCACUCGAGCAGGAGAUGAAUGAUGACACUCACAAAGAAUGAUCCACAAGAAUAUUUGGAAUUUUGGGGGCAUCCCCGACUUCACAUCCCUAUAAUCUCUCGGGGAAAAUUUAUGGGCCAAGGGAGUGUUUCGAAAGCCUCCCAAAUUGUGACAGACAACUCCCCGGCCUCUCUCCAAAGGCAGCACUCAUCCUAUUAUUUAAAGGUUUGUUUAUUCCACAGACUAAUCAGUGACAGCUCAAAUUGGGAUUUGGGAUGGAGGCUUCAAAAAUCUAAUGCCACCUGAAAUAGUGCGAGGAAUAUCUUUGUGGAAAAAAUAUUGAAAUGCCGCUAAAAUCUUCUUUUUUUAAAAAAUAGUAAUGUUGAAAAAAAUGUAUUGAAUUAUGUUCAUAGAACUGCAGUAGGAAGCAAUGUUUUCCCCAAUGUACUUCACUGAUAGGCUACGCACAACAAUACAGCUCUAUCAGAACAAAUCAGCUGGAAACUAUUCAACCACAUUGGAGGGACUAAGUGAAGCAUCACUUCUGCUUCGGCUGGAAACUUUAAAUGAAACUUACCUUGACCAAGGAGGACUCCCAGCAAUGAAGUAAGCACAACAAUCCACAGCCCCAUGAGGUGAGAAGCAGCGAUCCACAAAGGGAGAUUCAGGUGGUUAAAAAUGUUGAAUUUAAACUGAAAAACAAUGGUUGUGAU